rnacentral:rRNA from 1 species
AUAUUAUUAAGCGGAGGAAAAGAAAUUAACUAAGAUUGCCUUAGUAAGGGCGACUGAACCGGCAAAAGCUCAAAAUUAAAAUCGGAAAUUCAAAGAAUUUUCGAAUUGUAAUCAGGAUAACCUAAAUACGAAGUAUUGCUCAAUCAUGUCGAAACAUGAGCCAAAGAGGGUGAAAGCCCCGUACAGCAUUAUCUCGAACAAGGUAAUCCCAAAAAAGAGUCGGGUUGCUUGGAACUGUAGCCCUAACUGGGAGAUAUGAAUCUUCCAAAGCUAAAUAUAGAUGGGAGACCGAUAGCGCACAAGUA